rnacentral:lncRNA from 1 species
GUAGGUGGGGGUCUAUGGUGGUGUAGAGAUGGUAGGUGGUGGUGUAGAGAUGGUAGGUGGUGGUCUGUGGUGGUGUAGAGAUGGUCUGUGGUGGUGUAGAGAUGGUAGGUGAAGGGUCUGUGGUGGUGCAGAGAUGGUAGGUGGUGGUCUGUGGUGGUGUAGAGAUGGUAGGUGGUGGUCUGUGGUGGUGUAGAGAUGGUAGGUGGGGUCUGUGGUGCUGUAGAGAUGUUAGGUGGGGGUCUGUGGUGGUGUAGAGAUGGUAGUUGGGGGUCUGUGGUGGUGUAGAGAUGGAAGGUGGUGGAGUAGAGAUGGUAGGUGGUGGUCUGUGGUGGUGUAGAGAUUUUAGGUGGUGGUCUGUGGUGGUGUAGAGAUGGUCUGUGGGGGUCUGUGGUGGUGUAGAGAUGGUCUGUGUAUGUCUGUGGUGGUGUAGAGAUGGUAGGUGGUGGUGUAGAGAUGGUAGGUGGUGG